UAGGGAAUCUUCGGCAAUGGACGAAAGUCUGACCGAGCAACGCCGCGUGAGUGAAGAAGGUUUUCGGAUCGUAAAACUCUGUUGUUAGAGAAGAACAAGGACGUUAGUAACUGAACGUCCCCUGACGGUAUCUAACCAGAAAGCCACGGCUAACUACGUGCCAGCAGCCGCGGUAAUACGUAGGUGGCAAGCGUUGUCCGGAUUUAUUGGGCGUAAAGCGAGCGCAGGCGGUUUCUUAAGUCUGAUGUGAAAGCCCCCGGCUCAACCGGGGAGGGUCAUUGGAAACUGGGGUACUUGAGUGCAGGAGAGGAGAGUGGAAUUCCAUGUGUAGCGGUGAAAUGCGUAGAUAUAUGGAGGAACACCAGUGGCGAAGGCGGCUCUCUGGUCUGUAACUGACGCUGAGGCUCGAAAGCGUGGGGAGCAAACAGG
rnacentral:rRNA from 1 species